rnacentral:tRNA from 1 species
GGGUCCGUAGCUCAGGCUGGCAGAGCGGUUGGCUCUUAAAAAUUUUGGGGAGACCAAUAGGUCGAGGGUUCAAAUCCCUCCGGGCCCG